UGGGGAAUAUUGCACAAUGGGCGCAAGCCUGAUGCAGCCAUGCCGCGUGUAUGAAGAAGGCCUUCGGGUUGUAAAGUACUUUCAGUCGGGAGGAAGGUGGUAAGGUUAAUAACCUUAUCAAUUGACGUUACCGACAGAAGAAGCACCGGCUAACUCCGUGCCAGCAGCCGCGGUAAUACGGAGGGUGCAAGCGUUAAUCGGAAUUACUGGGCGUAAAGCGCACGCAGGCGGUUGAUUGAGUCAGAUGUGAAAUCCCCGGGCUUAACCCGGGAAUUGCAUCUGAUACUGGUCAGCUAGAGUCUUGUAGAGGGGGGUAGAAUUCCAUGUGUAGCGGUGAAAUGCGUAGAAAUGUGGAGGAAUACCGGUGGCGAAGGCGGCCCCCUGGACAAAGACUGACGCUCAGGUGCGAAAGCGUGGGGAGCAAACAGG
rnacentral:rRNA from 1 species